GAUAGUCUAGUGCUACAUUCUAUUGCGACAGACUAUUGCAAUACUAUUGCAAUAGUUUUUUAUCCCCGUGAAUUGUCUCAUUUGCAGUCAUUUCCCAAUUGAAUGUAUAGUUUAUAUG